rnacentral:rRNA from 1 species
CACGUAGGGGGCAAGCGUUGUCCGGAUUUAUUGGGCGUAAAGAGCUCGUAGGCGGCUUAGUAAGUCGGGUGUGAAACCUCCAGGCUCAACCUGGAGACGCCACCCGAUACUGCUGUGGCUAGAGUCCGGUAGGGGAGCGUGGAAUUCCUGGUGUAGCGGUGAAAUGCGUAGAUAUCGGGAGGAACACCUGUGGCGAAAGCGGCGCACUGGACCACAUCUGACGCUGAGGCGCGAAAGCCAGGGGAGCAAACGGG